rnacentral:rRNA from 1 species
AGAGGGUGCGAGCGUUAAUCGGAAUUACUGGGCGUAAAGGGUGCGCAGGUUGAUUUUCAAGUUGGGUGUGAAAGCCCCGGGCUUAACCUGGGACGGCCAUUCAAAACUGGGGAUCUAGAGUACGGUAGAGGAUAGUGGAAUCUUCGGUGUAGCGGUGAAAUGCGUAGAUAUCGAAAGGAACAUCAAUGGCGAAGGCAGCUAUCUGGGCUGAUACUGACACUGAGGCGCGAAAGCGUGGGGUAGCAAACAGGAUUAGAUACCCUGGUAGUCCACGCUGUAAACGAUGAGAACUAGCCGUUGGGCAUUUUAAAUGUUUAGUGGCGCAGCUAACGCGUUAAGUUUUCCGCCUGGGGAUACGGCCGCAAGGUUA